UGAUAUGCAAAAUUUGGAACUUGUAAUUUAUGACUUGUCAACUUUUUUUGUCAAACCUAAUUAACAAAUUCUCUUCCUAACUUUUUCUUUGUAUAUAAUUGAUUUGAAUAAGCCCCUUGUUUUCCAAGUACAGGCACAAUGCCUAUCCCUCACAUCUUUCUUACAUGUUCUCCAUGCCUUAUCUUGCAGAAGGCUUCAAUUGUUAUAUAAGUUUGAUUUCUAUUUUUAGAACUUAUAUAUGACUUUGGUAUUAAUUUAUUAUUUGAUUCCUGAAGAUUUUGUUUUGUUCUCCCUCUUUUUUUUUUGGGUUUCAAGGGUUUGUGGACUGAAGUGGUUUUAUAAUAACCAUGAGUUAGCAUCUGGAGAAAAUGAUAAUAGAUUGCUUGUUUGGAAUCAACACUCAACUCAGCCCGUCCUGAAGUACUGUGAGCACACGGCAGCUGUUAAAGCAAUAGCGUGGUCUCCUCAUGUUCAUGGACUCCUUGCAUCUAGAGGAGGAACUACAGAUCGAUGUAUUCGUUUCUGGAAUAUAACCACAAACUCACAUUUAAGCUAUAUGGAACUGGAAGUUAGGUAAAAGUACUUGUCUAGAAUCAUUUUCAUAAUAUCUAAUUGACUUUGUUUUAAGUGUUUUUUAUCUACUGCAUGACUGAUUAUUGGGUGGAAGCACUAUGAAAAAUACAUGUCUCAUGUUGAA